AGUGCUGGCGCAAGUCGUCUUGCGCCAGGCGACUGGGUCUGAGGAGGCAGGAGUUAUUCAUUCCCUUAAGCUUUCAGGCCGGGGGGAGAAUCUUUCAGGUGGUAGCUGCAAGAACUCUUAGUAUGUUGACCUCACCUCUGCCUUCCACAUACCACUACCAGUGAGGAAUUAGGAAUGCAUGAGAAGAGUGUCCAAGAAGAGUGUCCUCAUUCAUGCAAGGCUUAAGAGAGAAUGCAGGUCAACAUCACCAUGUCAAUCAGAGAAUACUUCUGUUGGGUUGAAUGACUCUCUGCCCCCAGUCUGACUGGUUGGAAGAGGCCCUUUUCCCAGCCUUUGUGAAAGAGAUCUUCAUGUAAACAGAGUCCCUCUUAUUGGCUGAAGUGAAGAGUCAUUCUGAGGCAUCUCAAGAUGAAGGUUUCCUAUUUGUGAUUAUGAAAAAAAUGUCAAGAACAAGUCCCUUGGUGUUCUUAGACCAAAGUCAGAACAACAGACCUAGUCAAGAGGAACAGCAUCGAUUGUUAAUAUGCUGUCUGCUUUCAACCCCCAAAGGAUUAUUUUCAGAAUGAAAUGAUCUGUGGUCUUUAAGGGGUGGGGAUGGGAGGAGCUGAAGAACUCUCGAUCCUUCGAAGAGGUCCCAGUGGACUUGAUUUCUCAGUGGAAACAGAGGGAUUUCCUUCUGCAGUGGGAAAGAGACACGAAGUGAUAAACCGAGCACCCUCUUUGAAGAUUUCCCAGUAUAUUUGUCCC
rnacentral:lncRNA from 1 species